rnacentral:rRNA from 1 species
UGGGGAAUAUUGCACAAUGGAGGGAACUCUGAUGCAGCGACGCCGCGUGAACGAAGAAGGCUUUCGAGUCGUAAAGUUCUUUUAUAUGGGAAGAUAAUGACGGUACCAUAAGAAAAAGCCCCGGCUAACUACGUGCCAGCAGCCGCGGUAAUACGUAGGGGGCUAGCGUUGUCCGGAAUCACUGGGCGUAAAGGGAUCGCAGGCGGAAAUGCAAGUCAGGUGUAAAAGGCAGUAGCUUAACUACUGUAAGCAUUUGAAACUGGAUAUCUUGAGAAGAGUAGAGGUAAGUGGAAUUUUUAGUGUAGCGGUGAAAUGCGUAGAUAUUAAAAAGAAUACCGGUGGCGAAGGCGACUUACUGGGCUCAUUCUGACGCUGAGGAACGAAAGCGUGGGUAGCAAACAGG